GGAACUGUUGCCCAUGGCUGGUGAGAACAUAAAGUGGUACGUCUGUCUUGGGAAACAAUCUGGCAGUGCCUCCACACUUAACUCCAGUGCCAUGGAGGUUAUGGUCCAUCACUAACGGGUCAGCCCUGGCUACAUCAGUGGACGGGUACCAGGGAGCAUAAAGAGUGAUGUUUUUGGUGCUUCCAGUCUCCUGGAGUGUGUUUCAUGGCGAGUAGGGGGCGGGGAAAAUGAUGCAGGCAGAGACAUUUCCUUGGGAGCUGGUAUCUCGUCUGAUCCCACAAUUCUUUUCUUCUUCCCUUCAUUCAAAAAUGACUUUUUCUUUGUCUACCAGAAGCCCAGAACUCCUCUAUGUCUUGGGGCACGUAGUGAGACAAAGUGGAAAAACACAGCCUUCCCUCAAGGAGUCAAGGUUUUGCAGCUAAUACCGACAAGCUAGUUUGCAAGGUGUGUCCCUCAAGAAAUAGUUACAUGAUACAGUAUCACGUUUUCUGAAUAUUCAGUGAUAUUAAAACUGAUUUUUAAAUGCUAUUAA